rnacentral:rRNA from 1 species
GACGAACGCUGGCGGCGUGCUUAACACAUGCAAGUCGAGCGAGAAAGCGGCUUCGGCCGUGAGUACAGCGGCGAACGGGUGAGUAACACGUGGGCAACCUGCCCCAGAGAUUGGGAUAACGUCCCGAAAGGGACGCUAAUACCGAAUAAAGCGUGACCUGCCAAGUGGGUCACGCCAAAUGGUAGCCUCGGCCUCUGCCCUGGGAUGGGCCCGCGCCGGAUUAGCUUGUUGGUGGGGGAAGGGCCUACCAAGGCGACGAUCCGUAGCUGGUCUGAGAGGACGAUCAGCCACACUGGGACUGAGACACGGCCCAGACUCCUACGGGAGGCAGCAGUGGGGAAUCUUGCGCAAUGGGCGAAAGCCUGACGCAGCAACGCCGCGUGAGCGAAGACGGCCUUCGGGUUGUAAAGCUCUGUCAGGAGGGACGAAGCCACUCGGGUGAAUAGCCCAGAGGGUGACGGUACCUCCAGAGGAAGCCCCGGCUAACUACGUGCCAGCCGCCGCAGUAA